rnacentral:rRNA from 1 species
AUCUGGCUCAGGAUGAACGCUAGCGGCAGGCUUAACACAUGCAAGUCGAGGGGCAUCGGGAGUAGCAAUACUGCCGGCGACCGGCGCAAGGGUGCGUAACGCGUGAGCAACAUGCCCGUAUCAGGGGGAUAAUCCAUGGAAACGUGGUCUAAUACCCCAUAGUAAUUAUGUAAGGCAUCUUAUAUAAUUUAAAGCUUUGGUGGAUACGGAUUGGCUCGCGUGACAUUAGCUGGAUGGUAAGGUAACGGCUUACCAUGGCUACGAUGUCUAGGGGUUCUGAGAGGAAGGUCCCCCCACACUGGAACUGAGACACGGUCCAGACUCCUACGGGAGGCAGCAGUGAGGAAUAUUGGACAAUGGAUGGAAAUCUGAUCCAGCCAUGCCGCGUGCAAGGAAGACGGCCCUAUGGGUUGUAAACUGCUUUUGUAUGGGAGCAAUAAGGGCUACGUGUAGUCCGAUGAGAGUACCAUACGAAUAAGCACCGGCUAACUCCGUGCCAGCCGCCGC